AUAGACGAGGCAACCUAAAGUUUGCCCGCGCGGCACCAGCGGCGCCCACUCCCCUGGCGGAAGGAUGGAAGUGUCGAAGGUCGCCGCCGGGCCAGCGCGCGCCCGUGUUCUCUACGGCGCGAGCGACCGCGUGCGUUGUUUUCGUGACGGCGAGCGCGACCUCAUCAACCAGGAAAGGUGGCACGCAAUACUGCUGUGUUGUUGAUUGCCACGAGAGCCUCGAAAAGUCGAAAGCCGCCCGUGAAGUUCUACAGAAUUCCAGAGAGGUGGUACGAGGAGGACAGACGACAAGCGUGGAUAACUGCAGUGCGCCGAGUCAAUGCUGAUGCCACUCCCUGGGAGCCAAAUUGAGAGCAGCCGUGUGUGCGCGCCCAGCGACCAACGAAACCAACCGCAAUCGUCACCGUCUCUGCACAUCUCUGCAAGCAUGCAUGACCGCUUUGUGACUGCACCAUAGAGAAAUAAAAGUCACUAAAUGACUGAA